CCAAAAAGUAACCUCCUAACCGCUAUCCCUAAACGUUGCAGUCAUUCGAGAUGGUUUUUGAUCCGACUGCUGACAUGGACCUGACAACGGAGGAGUGCCGUAUCGCUGCAUAUAUAUUUGGGAAGACAGAUAACUAUGGGUACGAACUUACUUUGAUACACGGUGUUAAUGGCUAUUUUGUAACAAAUUUGUGGUUCAUUUGUGGACUCGUUAUUGAACACAUGUACCUAUUGUCACAGGAAAAUUCUGUUCAAGUUCUACGAGCUAGAAGUCCCAAGGGGACAGCUACAUUCUCUGUGUCCUAAAUAUUCACCUCACCCAGAUGCAUGAAUCUUGUGUACAUUUAUUAAUCUCUUGUUUCUGAACCACUACGUUCUUUUCUCACGUGCUUGUGUUUACUCUUACACUGACACAGAUUGUGAACAUCAUUGUCAUGAUGGCUUCAUUGAAAGCUACACGAGAAACCCCGCCAAGAGUUUGGCUCCUUCCAUCCCCUUUUGCUGAUGAUGUUCUUUGCUUGAAACCAUUUGAUGUCAUUGUCAGGGCAUACUUGUGCCGCUGGAUGCCGACAACCACUCAACUGGAGAAGGUCAUCGUUCCCAUAUAUGAGGUCCCUGACUCUUGGUACAUAUUGGUCAUGGAUGUUAAAGAAGGAAAAGUUUAUUGUUUCGAUGUUACCAAAUCUGAUGACACAGUUGAGAGAAGGGAGCGCAACAUGCGCACCAUAGUUAGUCCCUAUUGAACCUUUUAACCGUGACUCAUAAUUAAAUAAUUAAAUCAUAUGAUAACAAGAGUCCUAUUUUAGUUGCAAAUGAUUUUUGUUUUUUCGUCUUUGCAGAUGAUCACGCUCUCCUAAAUUUUUAGGCAAGAGCAGAAUGUUGGGAGCUUCACCCAUAUUGUCCCAGACCCAACAAUGUGGGGACCAAUUGAAUAUCCAAAGAAUGUCCCAACUAUACACAAUAGUGGAGACGUGGCUGUGUGGUGCCUCCAUUGACUCCAACAGGAUGCGAAUUUUGAUGUUAGGAACCUUGGUGUCAUGAUAAGCGGAAAAGUUCGGAUGAAAACUGCCACAGCUAUCGUCAUAUCAGAGUGGAAUCAGAAGAAGAAGGCUGUGGAGUCCAGUGCGGCGGGUCUUUGGCGCACUCUCCUCUGUGUCCAGGACUAAUCUAUCCGGACGUUGAAGCAACACUUUUGGAAAACUAAAGCAUCGGUGGUUGUCAUCUGCCGAAUGCAAUAGUCAGUAUAUGUUGCUUUAGUAGUCUAAAGCAUGCUCCUUUGAGCAGCUAAAUAAAUCCGCUAGGUGAUAGUAAGAUUAGUCAGUUAUCUUUUGUUUAGCUCAUGUGGUUCAGUGUGGACAAGAGUGGUCCUUCUUUUGUUUAGCUUGUGUGGUUCAGUGUGGACAAGAGUGGUCCUUCGUGUAAUGGGGGAGCACACUAUCCACACCCCAACCUUUGGAUUAUAUGUAUGGCCAUCCUUUUGAAUGCAGUUAUUAAAGUUGCUUCUCAAUGGUAGUCCCCUAGCUAUGGAUCUUUUAAUGUAUGUGUGUCCCAACUCUAAUGAUUUGCAUAUGUCUGAAGGUAAUAAAAUUGACUCGAUAGUCACGUACUCACAUACUCUCCAAUC